CAACCCUCGCCUCAGUUGCCAGCAUUCGGUUGGGCACUCUAGAGGGACUGCCGGCGACAAGUCGGAGGAAGGUGGGGGAUGACGUCAAAUCAUCAUGCCCCUUAUGACCUGGGCUACACACGUGCUACAAUGGGCGGUACAAAGGGCUGCGAACCCGCGAGGGGGAGCGAAUCCCAAAAAGCCGCUCUCAGUUCGGAUUGCAGGCUGCAACUCGCCUGCAUGAAGCCGGAAUCGCUAGUAAUCGCGGAUCAGCAUGCCGCGGUGAAUACGUUCCCGGGCCUU
rnacentral:rRNA from 1 species